rnacentral:rRNA from 1 species
UACGAAGGGGGCUAGCGUUGCUCGGAAUCACUGGGCGUAAAGGGUGCGUAGGCGGGUCUUUAAGUCAGGGGUGAAAUCCUGGAGCUCAACUCCAGAACUGCCUUUGAUACUGAAGAUCUUGAGUCCGGGAGAGGAGAGUGGAACUGCGAGUGUAGAGGUGAAAUUCGUAGAUAUUCGCAAGAACACCAGUGGCGAAGGCGGCUCACUGGCCCGGUACUGACGCUGAGGCACGAAAGCGUGGGGAGCAAACAGG